rnacentral:tRNA from 1 species
UGGCCUUGUUCACCAACCCCCCUGCUGUAUAUAUACCUGCGAUCGUUGUACCAGGUUACAGCAGUCAGAGGAU